GAUGAACGCUGGCGGCGUGCUUAACACAUGCAAGUCGAACGAAGCACUUUACUACGAUUUCUUCGGAAUGACGGUUUUGUGACUGAGUGGCGGACGGGUGAGUAACGCGUGGAUAACCUGCCUCAUACAGGGGGAUAACAGCCGGAAACGGCUGCUAAUACCGCAUAAGCGCACGGUACCGCAUGGUACAGUGUGAAAAACUCCGGUGGUAUGGGAUGGAUCCGCGUCUGAUUAGCCAGUUGGCGGGGUAACGGCCCACCAAGGCUGCGAUCAGUAGCCGGACUGAGAGGUUGAACGGGCCACAUUGGGACUGAGAUACGGCCCAGACUCCUACGGGAGGCAGCAGUGGGGAAUAUUGGGCAAUGGGCGAAAGCCUGACCCAGCAACGCCGCGUGAAGGAAGAAGGCCCUUCGGGUUGGUAAACUUCUUUUAAGAGGGUACGAAGAAGUGACGGUACCUCUUGAAUAAGCCACGGCUAACUACGUG
rnacentral:rRNA from 1 species